rnacentral:tRNA from 2 species
GCGCCAGUGACGGAAUCCGGCAGACGUGCAGGGUUUAGGUCCCUGUGAGCUUCGGCUCGUGUGGGUUCGAAUCCCACCUGGCGCA